UACAGAGGUCUCAAGCGUUGUUCGGAUUCAUUGGGCGUAAAGGGUGCGUAGGUGGCGCUGUAAGUCGGGUGUGAAAUUUCGGAGCUUAACUCCGAAACUGCAUUCGAUACUGCGGUGCUUGAGGACUGGAGAGGAGACUGGAAUUCAUGGUGUAGCGGUGGAAUGCGCAGAUAUCAGGAGGAACACCAAUAGCGAAGGCAGCUCGCUGGGACGGUACUGACACUGAGGCGCGAAAGCGUGGGGAGCGAACAGG
rnacentral:rRNA from 1 species